CGCGCCGCCCCCCUCCUCCGCCGCGAGCUGCGGCCCCCCGCGCUCGGUACCCCCGGCGCCUCCCACCUUGCGCCGCCGUGACUCCUGCCGCGCGCCGCGGUGCCGCCGUCCUCCACGCGCAGCCCAACCUCUCCACCUCGCUCCGCCCCCGCGCUCGAGAAACGCCGUGCCACCGCCCCUGUGUUCCCUCGUGGCACUGCGCCGGCCUCCGUCGCGCUCGGCCCCCACGCUCCAUGCCCGCUGCGACCCCGCGCCCCAGAACCGCCGCGGCUGCCCCUGCAUCCACCUCGCUCGCCGACUACGCCCAAGCGUUCAUCCGGGUGGGUCUCGCCGGAUUAGUGCAGGAGGACGUGUGACGAUGGAGUGCACUUGCCGAGAAGUUUGCCAUGUGCGAUGUGGCUAGAGCUAGGAGGCUAGGAUCGUCCCAGCAUUGGUAGUGCAGAUGGCAACAAGAUAUUCAGUUAUACUCGCACAAUAUCUAUCACACGCUUAAUGCCAUCAGUGAGCCAAUUGUGAAAUCUGGGACUCUGGGGCGAAUAGCAAUGACCAGUGAUAAUGGGCCCAGAGGGUCACUCAGAGGCUAAUUUGAUGGCGGUAAGCUCUAGCUGCAUAUUUAAUUAAGUUCAGAUUUUUUCCUCCAAAGGGUUCAGAACAGAGAAAUAAUAUUGUAACUUCAAAAUAUUCUUCUGAUGUUUGAUGAAAAGAACAUUGCUCAGUAACAGUAUGUGUGUUUUUCUUGUAAUCAAUUCGAAGAACAUUUCAGAAAAUUGAACUCUAAGCUGCUAUAGAUGCCAGGCAUGCUAGACUGAUUUGGUUCGUGGAUAUGUGAUGCAUUUUACGGCAAUGCUACCAUGGUAAGAGUGAAAGGAGGAUUACAGAGGUAUGCUAAAAUGGUUUCUCUCUUAAAUUGGAAAUGUGGAGUAAAUGAAUGUGGUUUUCAUGCUUUAAAAUGUCCUAGCUAUAGCCGGUAAUCUAGAGCUAAUAUAUUAUUUGUCAAUUAUGAAUCCUCUAUUGUUUAUGAUUCAAAUUUGUUUUGCUAUAAAACAUUAAAUAUUAAUCACUGGAGCUGCUAAAAUGGACUCUGCACUUGUUGCAUCAGCUUCUCAUGUCCCUAUCUACAAAUAAUAAUGGAGCUCCAAGUCAUACCGCAGACUUGUUAAAUAAAGGUUUGUGGAGUAGAGCUUGCUAACGAGUUGGAUGGUAAGAAAGUUAUCAUGCGAGAAAUUGCACUUUGAUUUGGCUAUGCUAAACUGAAAUUAGGAGUGUCGGUGUAAGAAAUGAAGGGUACACCUCCUAGGAUUAAAAGCUAUUAGCAUAAUAUUGUUGCUUGUUUUGAAGAGAUAAUGACAUCAACGCUUGCAGCUGGGGAAAGAGUUAAAAGAUUAUUGUAAUGAGUUAUGGCUACAACAAGUAAGUCUGAUCAAUCUUUAGCCUUGCUGAUGCCUGAUGUAUGUCAUCAAGCAAGCACUUCGUUGGUUCUGAGGCUGGCAAGGUGCGCUGACCUUCUUCUCCAUUUAAUCUGCUAAGGAGUGUCGUCUAGCAUCGCUCCUUUUAACGAUGAAUCAUGCCUAAAUAUCAGGCUGUUGAUUAAAAUAACACUGGAAACUUUUAUUCGUUGAGUCUAGUAUUUGGCACAUUUCUAACCACUUUCAGGCUGUUGAACAAUUCUGUGUAAGUUUGGACUAGUCAAGGUGCUUGUGGUAUUAUCCAAAAUUGUGAUGCUGGUUCUCUUUCUUUUCCCAUAAUUUCUGAAUCCCAAGUGAAUUUGAUUUACUGUCAGUGCUUCCAUAUAAUCUUAACAUGUGGACAUUAUACAUACACAAUGAU